rnacentral:rRNA from 1 species
AGCAGCCGCGGUAAUUCCAGCUCCAAUAGCGUAUAUUAAAGUUGUUGCAGUUAAAAAGCUCGUAGUUGAAUUUCGGGAUCAGUACGCUGGUCGUGCCUUUGGUAUGUACUGGUGUCACUGAUUCCUCCCUUCUGAAGAACCGUUAUGCCAUUUAUUUGGUGUGGCGGGGAAUCAGGACUGUUACUUUGAAAAAAUUAGAGUGUUUAAAGCAGGCUCGCGCUUGAAUACAUUAGCAUGGAAUAAUGAAAUAGGACGUUUGAUCCUAUUUUGUUGGUUUCUAGGAUCGACGUAAUGAUUAAUAGGGAUAGUUGGGGGCAUUAGUAUUCAAUUGUCAGAGGUGAAAUUCUUGGAUUUAUUGAAGACUAACUACUGCGAAAGCAUUUGCCAAGGAUGUUUUCAUUAAUCAAGAACGAAAGUUAGGGGAUCGAAGACGAUCAGAUACCGUCGUAG